rnacentral:rRNA from 1 species
GGUAGAAGUAUUAAUACGGGAUAAGUGCUGAAAGCAUCUAAGCAUGAAGCCCCCCCUCAAGAUGAGAUUUCCCAACUUCGGUUAUAAGAUCCCUCAAAGAUGAUGAGGUUAAUAGGUUCGAGGUGGAAGCAUGGUGACAUGUGGAGCUGACGAAUACUAAUCGAUCGAAGACUUAAU